rnacentral:rRNA from 1 species
CACCAGGUUGAUUCUGCCUGACGUAGAGGCUAGACUCAAAGAUUAAGCCAUGCAUGUUAGCGAAGUUUUUAAUGGAACGACAGACGGCUCAGUAAUUCUGCGAUUAUUUGCACUAUGACAAGACAUAACUAAUGAAACCAUUAGCUAAAUUAGUAGUUUAAGACGCAGGCCUAUCAGUUAGUUGGUAGUGUAAUGGACUACCAAGACUAUAACGGGUAACGGGAAAUUAGGGUUUUAUUCCGGAGAGGGGGCCUGAGAGAUGGCUCCCACGUCCAAGGACGGCAGCAGGCGCGAAAAUUGCCCACUCUUUAAUAUGAGGAGGCAGUUAUGAGACGUGAUUUUAAGAUUGGACCUUAAAUAAGUUUAUGUGAUGCGAUUGGAGGGCAAGUUUGGUGCCAGCAGCCGCGG